UACGAAGGGGGCUAGCGUUGCUCGGAAUUACUGGGCGUAAAGGGCGCGUAGGCGGAUAUUUAAGUCAGGGGUGAAAGCCCGGGGCUCAACCUCGGAAUUGCCUUUGAUACUGGAUAUCUUGAGUUCGGGAGAGGUGAGUGGAAUGCCGAGUGUAGAGGUGAAAUUCGUAGAUAUUCGGCGGAACACCAGUGGCGAAGGCGACUCACUGGCCCGAUACUGACGCUGAGGCG
rnacentral:rRNA from 1 species